CGCGUAGGUGGUUCAGCAAGUUGGAGGUGAAAUCCCCGGGCUCAACCUGGGAACUGCCUCCAAAACUAUUGAGCUAGAGUACGGUAGAGGGUAGUGGAAUUUCCUGUGUAGCGGUGAAAUGCGUAGAUAUAGGAAGGAACACCAGUGGCGAAGGCGACUACCUGGACUGAUACUGACACUGAGGUGCGAAAGCGUGGGGAAGCAAACA
rnacentral:rRNA from 1 species